rnacentral:ncRNA from 1 species
UAACAUACCUUCAUAUAUCCUCGAAAAUAGGGUUCGAGAGUCUCUACCGGGUCGCCGUAAAAGGCCUGACUAUGAAGGCAGAAUUUUUU